UACGAAGGGGGCUAGCGUUGUUCGGAAUCACUGGGCGUAAAGGGUGCGUAGGCGGUCUGGUAAGUCGGCGGUGAAAGCCCGGGGCUCAACCCCGGAACUGCCAUCGAUACUGUCAGACUUGAGUGUGGUUGAGGGUGGCGGAAUGGGCGGUGUAGCGGUGAAAUGCAUAGAUACCGUCCAGAACCCCGAUUGCGAAGGCAGCUGCUUAAGCCACAACUGACGCUGAGGCACGAAAGCGUGGGGAGCAAACAGG
rnacentral:rRNA from 1 species